rnacentral:rRNA from 1 species
UGGGGGAUAUUGCGCAAUGGGGGCAACCCUGAUGCAGCAACGCCGCGUGAAGGAUGAAGGUUUUCGGAUUGUAAACUUCUUUUAUUAAGGACGAAACUUGACGGUACUUAAUGAAUAAGCUCCGGCUAACUACGUGCCAGCAGCCGCGGUAAUACGUAGGGAGCAAGCGUUGUCCGGAUUUACUGGGUGUAAAGGGUGCGUAGGCGGCUUUGCAAGUCAGAUGUGAAAUCUAUGGGCUCAACCCAUAAACUGCAUUUGAAACUGUAGAGCUUGAGUGAAGUAGAGGCAGGCGGAAUUCCCCGUGUAGCGGUGAAAUGCGUAGAGAUGGGGAGGAACACCAGUGGCGAAGGCGGCCUGCUGGGCUUUAACUGACGCUGAGGCACGAAAGCGUGGGUAGCAAACAGGAUUAGAUACCCUGGUAGUCCACGCUGUAAACGAUGAUUACUAGGUGUGGGGGGUCUGACCCCUUCCGUGCCGGAGUUAACACAAUAAGUAAUCCACCUGGGGAAUACGGCCGCAAGGUUGAAACUCAAAGGAAUUGACGGGGGCCCGCACAAGCAGUGGAGUAUGUGGUUUAAUUCGAAGCAACGCGAAGAACCUUACCAGGUCUUGACAUCCAACUAACGAAGUAGAGAUACAUUAGGUGCCCUUCGGGGAAAGUUGAGACAGGUGGUGCAUGGUUGUCGUCAGCUCGUGUCGUGAGAUGUUGGGUUAAGUCCCGCAACGAGCGCAACCCUUGCUAUUAGUUGCUACGCAAGAGCACUCUAAUAGGACUGCCGUUGACAAAACGGAGGAAGGUGGGGACGACGUCAAAUCAUCAUGCCCCUUAUGACCUGGGCUACACACGUACUACAAUGGAUGUUAACAGAGGGAAGCAAGACAGCGAUGUGGAGCAAACCCCUAAAAACAUUCUCAGUUCAGAUUGCAGGCUGCAACCCGCCUGCAUGAAGAUGGAAUUGCUAGUAAUCGCGGAUCAGCAUGCCGCGGUGAAUACGUUCCC